GGCUGUUCAUGCCCAGCCAGCUCACAGAUGCCCAGUGACCAACCAGCUCACUCCCACAGCCGCUGGCAGGGGCAGAGGCAGGACAGCCAGGUCAGGCGUGGAGGGCCAGGGUGGGACAGGAGCAGGAAUGGGGUCCGCUCUGGAAGGCAACGUCAGAAAGGGACAGUAGCCAGGGAGACUUGACCUUUCUGUGUUCCUAAAUCAAAGGGCAGGCUGCACUUUUGGCUGGUGGCCAAGGUUCUGGAGGCAGCCGGUGAGGACCAGGCAUGCAGUGCGAACCGCUCGGGGCACCGGACAGCAUCCACUUCCCGCGCACCCACGAAGAGGGCAAUAUAAGAACUGGGCACUCAGCACGAUUUGCAAUUCAUGGGAGUUCUGGAAUUUUGAAUUUCAGAGGUUCUAGAAUGCUGGAACUUGCACCUUGGUGGUGUUCUAGAACUCUCAGGGAUACUGGAUUUCUAGAACUACAAAAGGGUCCUGCGUGAGGGGACAGAUCUCGCGGACUUUAGAGUUUCUCUCUGCCACCACUUAACUUUGAAGCUCCGUGAUGAUGUUGUGGGGCCCUUGGGGCCGCUGAAAUGUCUGGGCAGGGAAGAAAAAUAUCUGUAGAGUUCUGCGUCUUCCAGACAAUUGCUCUAUCUGUGUCUGUGUCUGUCUGUGACUCUGUCUGUGUAGCUGUCUGCUUGUCUCUCUCGGAUUCGGAGCUGACAGAAUUCAUAUCAGAAGAGUGAACGCAGGGACAUCUGUGUGCGGAAUGACUGUGCUGCUCGAACCUGCCAAUCGCUCCUGGCACGAGCUGGAAAACCUCUUGGCUGCCUCUCUUCAGGAGUAAAUUUGAAGAUCUAAGAAAUCACAGUCCUCCAUGUGUGCAAAGGAAGACCUAAAAGUGUUGAACCUAAGGGCAUAGCAAGAAGGUCUAGUUAUGCGUGAAGAAUUCCUGAACUGGGCCGGGUGCGGUGGCUCAUGCCUGUAAUCCCAGCACUUUGGG
rnacentral:lncRNA from 10 species